rnacentral:rRNA from 1 species
GACGAACGCUGGCGGCGUGCUUAACGCAUGCAAGUCGAACGGAAAGGCCCUGCUUUUGUGGGGUGCUCGAGUGGCGAACGGGUGAGUAACACGUGAGUAACCUGCCCUUGACUUUGGGAUAACUUCGGGAAACUGGGGCUCAUACCGGAUAGGAGCUCCUGCUGCAUGGUGGGGGUUGGAAAGUUUCGGCGGUUGGGGAUGGACUCGCGGCUUAUCAGCUUGUUGGAGGGGUAGUGGCUUACCAAGGCUUUGACGGGUAGCCGGCCUGGGAGGGUGACCGGCCACAUUGGGACUGAGAUACGGCCCAGACUCCUACGGGAGGCAGCGGUGGGGAAUAUUGCACAAUAGGCGGAAGCCUGAUGCAGCAACGCCGCGUGCGGGAUGACGGCCUUCGGGUUGUAAACCACUUUCGCCUGUGACGAAGCGUGAGUGACGGUAAUGGGUAAAGAAGCACCGGCUAACUACGUG